UUCAAAUUAAGACCUCAAUUUUUAUCAAAAGCUUAAAACAGGUCAUCCAGGUCAUAAACUCAUAAUAUAAUUGGCUGUAGCCCUUGAUUGAUUAUUACUAGAGAGCGUUUUCUAGGUUUCCUUCUUUCUCCCUCUCACUCUCUCUCUCUCUCUUUUUUUUUUUCAAAAAUUUAUUUUACCUUCUCUUAAUAUCAAUGACAUAAAUGAAAAUUGAAGUCUAUCUUUACUCACGUGAAUGAGAUUCAAUUUUUUUGUACCAAUAGAAUCAUCAUCAUUGAAAUUUACAUGCCCCGAAGCUCAAGGAGAGAGCUUGGAUAGAAUACAAAACUUUCUUUCUAAGUCAAAUAAAUAGCAAAUUCGAUAGAAUACAAAACUUUCUUUUUAAGUCAAACAAAUAGCAAUUGAUAUCAGACUUAUGAAGCAUAAUCCUUUGUCUUUCUGUUCGUGGACAUGACGUGUGAUAUUUAUAAUUUCUCAUCUCUUCGAUCAUUGAAUUUGAGAUAGACCCAUUACAUUGGCACCUCCAACAAUUUUCUGUGGUUUUGAUUUGCUCAUUUAUUCACAUUAGCAUGUUUGAGUGCCUGAAUAUGACUUUUGUGGCAUAUUUACUUUUGGGGAAGGGAAGACGUUUGAAUCUCGAAAGCGAUCAUCCUUCUUAAGUUUUUUUUUUUUAAUUAAAUCUAAAAAUAUAUUAAACAGACAAUAAGAGAAGGGAUAUUAUCAUUUUGCUACUAAAGUUUUACUGACAUAUCAUAUCAGUACCAAGGUUUGCCGAAAAGUACAUUUUACCACCAAAGUUUUGCACCGUUAUCAAUUUACUACCAUUCCAUUAACAACGUUAAAAAUUUACUGAUGUCAUAAGGGCAUCAAAGACAUUCUCAGCUGUAAGAGUAAAAUUGUCUGUUAAUUUAAUAGAUAAAUUAUCAUUUUACUACUAAGUUUUUAGGGGAAUUAUCAUUUUACUACCGAAUUUUUAGGGGAAUUAUCAUUUUACUAUCAAACUCUUGGGGGUAAAAUCGACUUUUAACUCAAUUUCCGUUAAACAUUAACUUUUUCUUAACGGAAUGGUAAUGAAUUGAUAACGGUGCAAAACUUUGGUAGUAAAAUGCACUUUUCGGCAAACCUUGAUACUGUCAUGAUAUGUCAGUAAAAUUUUGAUAGUAAAAUGAUAAUUUCCCAUAAGAGAAUUACAAAAGCAUUAUGUAUAAGAGGUCAAGUUAUAAAUAAUACUUAAAAUAGUUUCAAACAUCCUCAAAUAAUUUUUUUGGCGAAUAACAAUUGGUGGAACAUCUCACCAAAUGUACAGAAAACAAGAUAAUCUCUGAUUAGUUAAUGCUACAAAAUUUCCUUCUUGAAAGAUAUAGAAACACCUAAAAAUCAUGUUUUUAGUCCAUCUAAGUAUAUAUACCUUUAAAUAAUAAUAAUAAAAAUAAUAAUUAUAAAGGAUUUCAUCUUGUCGGUAAAAAUGUUCGAGUGUCUCUUUAUAAUAAAAAUUAAACACGCCUCUUUCAAUAUGGAGGGUAAGGCGGUGUUUUUUUUUUAACUUAAUAACUUAAAGUGGCUUAACUUAAUUAAUUAAGUUAAUUAUAGGUGUUUGUUUUUAUAACUUAAUGAGACUUUUUAGAUAAUUUUGACUUAAUAAAAUAAGCCAAUUUUUUUGGCUUUUUACUUAAUGGAGAAA
rnacentral:lncRNA from 1 species